GGGGAGCUAACAGGAUUAGAUACCCCUGGUAGUCCCCCCCGUAAACGUUGGGCAUAGGAGUGGGGGACAUUCCACGUUCUACGCGCCGUAGCUAACGCAUUAAGUGCCCCGCCUGGGGAGUACGGCCGCAAGGCCAAAACUCAAAGGAAUUGACGGGCGCCCGCACAAGCGGCGGAGCAUGCGGAUUAAUUCGAUGCAACGCGAAGAACCUUACCAAGGCUUGACAUUCACCGGACUACCUCAGAGAUGGGGUUUCCCUUCGGGGUCGGUGGACAGGUGGUGCAUGGUUGUCGUCAGCUCGUGUCGUGAGAUGUUGGGUUAAGUCCCGCAACGAGCGCAACCCUCGUUCUAUGUUGCCAGCACGUGAUGGUGGGGACUCAUAGGAGACUGCCGGGGUCAACUCGGAGGAAGGUGGGGAUGACGUCAAAUCAUCAUGCCCCUUAUGUCUUGGGCUUCACGCAUGCUACAAUGGCCGGUACAAAGGGUUGCGAUACUGUGAGGUGGAGCUAAUCCCAAAAAGCCGGUGUCAGUUCGGAUUGAGGUCUGGAAAUUGACAUCAAGAAGUUGGA
rnacentral:rRNA from 1 species